rnacentral:rRNA from 1 species
AUGGCCCCACCGCCGGAGCUGAUGGACGAGCUCGUCGGCGAGGUCCUCCUCCUCCUUCCUCCCGACGAUCCCGAGCACCUCUUCCGCGCCGCCCUCGUCUGCAAGUCGUGGCUCCGCGUCGUCUGCGACCCCUCCUUCCGCCGCCGCUACCGCGCCUUCCACGGAGCCCCUCCCCUCCUCGGCCUCCUCCAACAGUUCCAAGUCCUCCAACAAAGGCCCGCGCCCCGCUUCACCUCCACCACGUCGAUGCCAGACUUCCCCUACCCGGGCUCCGACGGCCAGGGCAAGCACCCCGUUCCCCUCGACUGCCGCCACGGCCGCGUGCUCAUCCACAUGGUGCAGGACGAGGGCCUGGUUUUCGUCGUCUCGGACCCGGUCACGGGCGACCGGCACGUCCUCCCCGCGCCGGGCAUCGUCUGGCUCAUCUGCACUGCCGCGGUCUUCUGCGCCGCCGAUGGCUGCCAACAUCUCGACUGCCAAGGCGGCCCCUUCCGCGUCGCCUUCCUGGCCACCGACGACGACGACCGCCAGGUUAAGGCGAGCGUGUACUCGUCGGUGACAGGUGCGUGGAGUGCGCCAGUAUCUCUUGACGAUGGUUGCGAAUGCUAUUCCCAGCACAUCCGAGAUGACAUUGCAGAAAACCUCUACCACCUGCCCUAUGUCAUGCCCCGGCGAGUAGCUGUCAUUGGAGAUGAGGUCUACUUCACACUUCGCUCUGCUCACAAAAUCGUCAAGUACAACUUGCCAAACAACUGCUUAUCCAUGAUCGACCCGCCGCCACACACUAGGAGCCCAAUUGCUCUCAUGGUGAUGGAGGACAGUUCGCUGGGGUUUGCCUGCACUGAGAGUUCUAGUCUUUAUCUGUGGUCAAGGAAGGUGAAUUCAGAAGCAGCUGCUGAAUGGGUAAAAUGCAGGAACAUCGAGCUGGAGACAAUUGUGCCCGUCGUGGAUCCAGAUUACCAACCAUUUGUGGUUGGUUCCGCAGAGGGUGUGGGUGUCAUCUUCAUAAACACAGAUGCUGGCUUAUUCACUCUAGAGCUCAAGUCAGGGCGAGUCAGAAAGGUUGAUGAGCCCGCACAGUACUUUAGCGUCCUACCCUACAUGAGCUUCUACACUCCAGAUCGUGGCAUAUUGUUGGCGCUAGCGAAGACCCACUGA